AAAGUGGACAGUGAGGGCUUCCGUAGAGACCGGUGGGGUGGGGCGUGAGCAGUGGGCAGUGAGGGCUUCUGCAGAGACCGGUGCGUGGGGGGGUGGGACGGUGGGGGCAGUUGACAGUGAGGACUUCCGCAGAGAUCGGCCCUGCCCAGUGUCCCCCAAACCCAAGGCCCAACUCACAACUUGGCCGCAGUGACUCCCAGAACCAGAAACAGGUCCCCAGCGUCAGCGAAGAGGACCAGGAACCACUCCCCAGCCUGCCAGAGAUGAGUCAGCCGGGCAGGGCCUCCAGGAGCAACUUCCUGCGCACGGCAUGUGGCCCCCAGCCCCGCCAAAGCCCCCUCCCCAGGCCCCAAGCCCCAGGCCUGCCAGCGUGUGUGGCAAGGAAGCCUGCAGAAAGGAAAGUGCUACAGCUGGCUGAACCCGCUCCUGAUACGGCCACCGUUUUUGCAACCCUGCGCCAGACAAAGACAGCGGGUGCAGGAGCCCCUUAUGUGAGACCUGGCUGGGCCACCAGCUCGCUGUGUGAUCUCCUGGGCGUCUGUGGGCUGUGGCUUCCUCAGCUGCAGUGCAGUCUUCAUCAGAUCUGCUCUGGCCACUGUCCCCCUGAUAUCACAUAUGUCCAUAGCCUCACAUAGGAUGCAGACUGCCAAAGUCCCCCAGCUCCACGAAAAGGUGAAUAGUUCAACAGCUAGGAAAUCAAGGAUCCUUUCCGUGUGUUAGCAGCUAUCAAGAAAGGCCCCGCUUCGGUGAUGACAUGAUGCAAAUAAAUAAAUAAAUAAAUAAAAGAUAAAAA